rnacentral:misc_RNA from 1 species
CAUGCAUNNCUUAAUCUUUGAGACAAGCAUAUGACUACUGGCAGGAUCAACCAGGUAGCAUUCCUCUUNGACGCAGCCCGCCACGCAAGGACAAGCCAAGACAUGACAGACGAUCGUUUUGGAGAAGCGAGAACGCUUAAAUAGGGCAAAUGCAGGAUCCCGAAAGACCCAUGCCCNCAUCAGGUUCCGUAUACAAGAGACCAAGCAAUGCCUCAAGGGCCACAUCGUCGAUGCAAAAGCACCANCAAGGUGGACCACAAAGCCUGCUUCAAGGUUCAUCCCACGCCGCAUGAGCGACGCACGAUGAAAAAGGCCGUCCAUAAACCCACACAUUACCGUCAAUUAGGUAUGCANCNCAAGAAACCCACAAGCUGCUCAAGGCAAAAUAGCCUUGUCGCNUAAAAUG